GAAGGUUUUACGGUAACAGUUGGGAAUACUGGUUUGGAAGGCCUAUAGCUUUCUUCAGAAACCAUACAGGAGGGAAGAGAACCUACCGCAUAAAGCUAAAGAAUGAAUCAUCAAUGCCACGCGUGUUCAGUAUCUUAGCAAUGAAAUCGCUGAGCAACCCUUUCCAAGAGAACGUAAAGACAGAAGCACGCAUGCUGCUUGGCAGGGGGCACUAGACCAGACCCUUUGGAAACAUUCCCACGUAGACAGCUGUGCAGUGAGAGAGAAGGUCCAGGAGAGACUGAGAUUCGAACUGGUGUGGAAGAUAUGGAGAUGGCCCCCCACGCUCCCUCUUCAAGGCAAGACUUUCUGCCCAGCUGCAGGGAGAGCAGUCAGCCGACAGCCCUCUUCUGGUGGCUACUUCAAGAUUCUCUAGGCCAUCAAAAUAAAUGCCCGUUCUGUCAUUGGACGCAUGCUAGAACUCAGCAACCUGCUUAACUUCUUGGAGCGUCAAGGUCUUUGUUCACAGAAUGAGAGAUUUGCACUAAACGACCUUCACAAGUCCUUCCAGCUCAUUCUGUGGUUCUCUGAAAACUCACUGACUUCUGGAGUCAGAACAUCAAAUUGGACUUUGUGAAACUUCUGUUAACAAGGAGGCCACACUUGAUUUCUAAAACUCAAUUAGCACAGAUUAAAAAUAAAUAAAUAAAAG
rnacentral:lncRNA from 1 species